rnacentral:rRNA from 1 species
UACAGGGGGGUGCAAACGUUGCUCGGAAUCAUUGGGCGUAAAGCGCACGUAGGCGGUUCGUUAUGUCGGAUGUGAAAGCCCCUUGGCUUAACCGAGGAAGUGCAUCCGAAACUGGCGAGCUAGAGUACGAAAGAGGAUCGCGGAAUUCCCGGUGUAGAGGUGAAAUUCGUAGAUAUCGGGAGGAACACCGGUGGCGAAGGCGGCGAUCUGGGUCGAUACUGACGCUGAGGUGCGAAAGCGUGGGGAGCAAACAGG